CCUACGGGUGGCAGCAGUGAGGAAUAUUGGUCAAUGGGCGCAAGCCUGAACCAGCCAAGUCGCGUGAGGGAAGACGGUCCUAUGGAUUGUAAACCUCUUUUGUCGGGGAGCAAAGCGCGGUACGAGUACCGCGAAGGAGAGUACCCGCAGAAAAAGCAUCGGCUAACUCCGUGCCAGCAGCCGCGGUAAUACGGAGGAUGCGAGCGUUAUCCGGUUUUAUUGGGUUUAAAGGGUGCGUAGGCGGAGUUGUAAGUCAGGGGUAAAAAUGCGGUGCUCAACGCCGUAUCGCCGUUGAAACUGCAGGUCUUGAGUGAGCGAGAAGUAUGCGGAAUGCGUGGUGUAGCGGUGAAAUGCAUAGAUAUCACGCAGAACUCCGAUUGCGAAGGCAGCAUACCGGCGCUCAACUGACGCUGAGGCACGAAAGUGUGGGGAGCGAACAGGAUUAGAUACCCUUGUAGUC
rnacentral:rRNA from 1 species